GCACCCUUAUUUUAAUGGACAGAAUGUGAAGCUACGAACUUCACGAUCGGGGUUCGAUUCCCUGAGGGUGUACCA
rnacentral:tRNA from 1 species